UUCAGGGUCGGUCUGUCUCUCGCAGCUGGUAUGCCAUGUUAGACUCGGGAACCAACUACCUGAACAUGUACAAUCUUAUGAGAGGCAGUGGUCUCUCUUCUUCUCCUGACUUCAUCGAAUCUACCAGUGACAGACUGUGCACUCAGUUCAGCUCCACCAGACAGAAACUGCCCCCAUAAACAGCCUCAACCAAUUUAACCCAAUGUUCUGUUAUCAGGGUUCCCACAGGUCAUGGAGUUCCUGCAAUGUAUUUCUGCUUUAUUUCAGACACCAAAAGUCAUGGGCUUUUAUACACUUAAAACAUUUAGCUUUUGUGUUGGCAGAAGAGGUGAUUUUAUUUACUUUGAGGCGUCUGUGCGACACUUUAAGUCUAAAAUAACAUUGGAAUGUUUGGAUAAUAAGACAUGACAUGAAUAGCAUUUUUCCACAAAGUGUUUAAUACAUCGCUUAUUUAUUACCUCUAUUAUACUGUAUUAAAUUCUAUUAAAUCGUGAGUUUACUUGCUGUUAAUUCUGUCACAGGCGCACACAGGAGGUUAUUUUCUGAGAACGAGCCCAAAUGGAAAUACAAUGCAAAUAUAUGAGCUGCUUCAGUUCAGCUGUUGCCUCUAAAUCCUGCAUCAUUUGAGCUUUGAGUCAACAAGACACUAAUCCUCAUUGAUUUCAUUCGGUUCAAAUGUUACUCAAUGCAGAAAUACUGAAACGCCUCAUUCACAAAGCAUUUAGUCUCUGGAAGAACUGAACAACACUGACAUCAGGAACUGAACUGGAGACGUUUGAUUAUUGAUCCACUGUGAAAUGUUUGACAGACUGAUCAGAAAUGCUUUGUGUUGUGUAGACGGAGGAUUUUCUCUAUUGGACACUUGCUAGAGUCUACUUUGUCUUCAUUAUUUUAAUGUCUUCUCAUUAUUUGUGAGUUGCUUUGGCUAAAGAGUUUGCUGAAGGACUAAAUGUAAACGUCCAUGUAAAUGCUGUAGUUCUCUUCAGAUGUCCAUUGAGUUCCUGUCUGAGGUCAACAUCUGUGGAUUUAGUGAGUGUUUGCAUUAAACGUUUGCAUUCUGCUUGAUUAUUAUUUGGCAUAUGA